rnacentral:rRNA from 1 species
CAGCCGCCGCGGGAAUACGAAGGGUGCAAGCGUUACUCGGAAUUACUGGGCGUAAAGCGUGCGUAGGUGGUGGUUUAAGUCCGUUGUGAAAGCCCUGGGCUCCACCUGGAAAUUGCAGUGGAUACUGGGUCACUAGAGUGUGGUAGAGGAUAGUGGAAUUUCCGGUGUAGCAGUGAAAUGCGUAGAGAUCGGAAGGAACAUCUGUGGCGAAGGCGACUAUCUGGGCCAACACUGACACUGAGGCACGAAAGCGUGGGGAGCAAACAGGAUUAGAUACCCCCGUAGUCCCUGUCUCUUAUAC